CGAACGGUAGAGUCGAUUUCCGCGCUUAUAAACCCAGGGUCGUUACACUACUCCCUCCUUUCAAAGAGCGCGCUAGCUUGCGACUCUACGUCUUACAGGAACGCGCUCACCGGACUAGCACACGCACUGUCGUGGAUGCGAGGUCCGAUCACUUCUGACACCAAUGUAAUGGAACAGCAGAGAGCAGGUCUCGAACCCUCGACAUUCGAGCCCGAGGUCCGGCGCGCUAUCGACCGUGCCGUAAAAGAAUUCUCCAACGGUAGAGCCGAUUUCCGCGGUUAUAAAACCAGGGUCGUUACAAUACAAUGGCAAAAAAACAUGCAACAAAAUGUUGCAGGAGCAAUUUGAGUUGUUUUCCUUAAAUUUCUUCAUAUAGUGGUUGGCAGGAUAAUAUUUGUGAAUAAUUUAAAAGGAAACUUCCUUAAUUUGGUUAACAUGUAGGUAUGUGUGGCAACAUCCAAACUUUUUUCCAACAGAUAUGAUCAAUAAAUCCAUUCCAAUAAGGCAUGACAUAAGGUAUAGAUACAACAUCCUGCAGAAACAAGGUUCGUAUCGCUCUGUUGUUGAAUGGACCAAAAGAGAAACAAAUCUUUCCUACUGAUGAGUCAACAGGGUCAAUAGAAGGUAGGCUCUGCGGGUCAGGUUUUGACACGUUCCUGAAUAACAUAGCAACACCUGAGGGAAUGGCAUCUAAAACGAUUGCAAAAUCUGUGUUACAGGGACCUUGUAAAGUGAUAAGAUAGCAACAUUUGUCUAUUUUGCCCAGCUCUCAAACUGUGUCUGUCUGUAGGAGUUCCUACUGGAGGAGUGGUUGCAGUGUUGCCAACUAAUUUUCAGGGAGAGCUGAGCACCUAUCAGAUCCUCUGCUGUCCUUCACCCCUUGGUGCAGUCUGCUGACCAUCGCUGGGGCCAGGAAAAAGUCUGUCAACCGAAGUAGGAGCCAAGUGUAUCACCAUGCAACACUCUACCGAGGUUCCGGGUGAUCUCCCAUCUUCUUCAUAGUGGCCUCAGCUGUACUCCACUGGUCAACUGGAAACCCACCGCAUAACCUCUAGCCAGGUGAAUCAAGAGCUUCACCAGAGACGGAGGAGGAAGCGAGACAUCCUGGCCUUCCUACGUCACCGCUUUAUCUGCUUGUUGCCCUAGCACAGUGUUUCCCUACUCCAGUCCUCCAUCAGUAUACAUUUUUAUUGUAGCCCCAGACAAGCACAUCUGAUUCAACUUGUAAACUAAUCAUCAAGCCCUUGAGUUGAAUGAGGUGUGUUUGUCUGAGGGCUACAAUGAAAAUGUGUGCGGUUAGGGGUACUUGAAGACCAGAGUUGGUAAACAACGAGGGAGUUCUAUUAACCUGAGCUGCGGUGCACUGGUCUAUGACCCAUAGCGUGAAAGGGACAAAUCUGUGAGGGAGGAGUGCCCUUCUCAAAUCUAACAGUAAUUUGUGCCACUCUGUCAUGCUGUCGACAAGGCAGCAUGGUGCAUCUUUCAGAAACAUUUUUUCCCUUAAAAUAUGUUAGAAUUGUCAAACUAGUUGUUUUCAUUGUGAUUGCAGAUAAUGCGUUUUUAUCAAAAGCAAUCACUUUCACAUGUGAAAACACAGGCCUACUCAUUACUCCAUGUGCUUAGUCUAGUCCACAGUAGGCAAUCUCUUUUAACCCGCUGCAAACUGCUCCCAGUGGGGCAACCCGGGCCAGUAAUCGAAUCCCUGCUCACAUUUUAAGCCCUAACAGAGGUGCUCGACCCUAAACACAUGUGGACUGACUACAGGUUAUAAAGAGGCAGAGGGCAUGAACUGCAAGGUGAAAGACAGACCAUAGUUAAAGGGAUACUUUGGGAUUUUGGCAAUGUGGCCCUUUAUCUACUUCCCCAGAGUCAGAUGAACUCCGCUGUCAUAGAUGUUCAAAUAAUCCAUAAUGUAAAAAUAAGGGGAUUUUAUAUUAUUUUCAACAUAUAUCAUUUAUUUCAAAAGUGACAGUAGGUUUGCUGGGAUUGUGGCUGUGCAGAGACCACAGACAGUAGUAGCCUAAUGGAACAAAACAGGCUGCAUGGGAACGUGUUCAUGACUCAGCUUCUUGGUCGGCUACAAAUCAACCUGGCCAGGGAACAAUGGCAGCUUUUCAGUUGAUUUCAAUAUUUUUAAGAACUCUAAAUCAUCCAAAGGAAGAACAUGCCGAUAUCAUCUUGGAGGAAUCAAUUUAGUCCAAUAUAACGUAGACCUAGUCCAUUGCAAUGUGCACAAACCAUGUAUGGGAGAAGAAGAAAAAAUAUCAUCUCAACAUUUCCUUCCCUCUUGACUUCCUCUUCCGGGAAUCGCCUAGGGAGAGGACAGACUGAAAUUAAUAGAUUGAAGGAAUAAAAAUGGACAUACCAAUGACUUUAAAAUAGUAUGCCGAUAAUAUCCCGACAUUUGUAGUUACGAUUGCAUUUGAUGGAUCAGAAAGAGGCUUGGCAGGGGUGAGAAUGGACUUUUAUUAUGUUUCUUAUGCCAUUUCAUUUCCAAAAUAAUCAUAUAGUGCUACUGGUUGCAUCAAUCAUUAAAGCACUAAAUUAAUUUAUAUUAAAACAUCUUUCAGCAAAGACAGACUUACAAAACGACACAGUUUACAGGAAGCACAAAAAAAGUAAUUGUGUUAGUAGGUUAAAUAAUCCAUUUAGCUGUUUAGGUUGUUGUGAGGUUGGGCAGUUCAACAACAUAUGGGUACGGAGGUACAGGAAACAAAGACAAACUCUUUCAAAAAGAUUACACACAGAGCAGAAAUGCUAAGCAAGUUCUUCCUACUGAGGUAUGACAUUGAAGUGUACUUGGAUAUAAAUGAUAAAUGUUCAACUGUGGCGUUUGAGGUGUCAGGUUGAUCUUAAGAUUUGUCAAGAUAUAAGAUUCAGGCUGACAAAAGGGCAUAAAGUAGCAGCCAAAAUGCCAGACAAAGUGGUUUAUCUUGAAUUAUUACAAUUUGUUUACCAGGAUUUUAAAGAUGUUUACUGAAGAGGACAGUGUUAAUAGCAGGACAAGACACAAUCAGAUGAAACCAGAUCCUGGUUAGACCGACGCACGUCUGUUAAUUGAAAUUAUGGCUUGGUGCUGACGGGUUGAAUAAAAAUGUCCCUCUUGCACCAGUUAGUUUUCCAUCCAGUCGUUUGACCUACCUCACUGCAACACACACCCCUUUUUACAUUUAGGGUGUCGCUUUCCAGUGUUACCUUGUGCUUUAGAGAGUCAAAGAAAAACAAACACGAAAAACAAACUAUUUGAUCAUGAAAGGACUCAAUAAGAUGUAAAUGGGAAGCUUUUAAGA